GGGCGGGGGGAGGGAGCUCAGCGCAAGGUGACCCCUCCCCUCCCCUUCCCCCAGCGCUGGCGGCGCGGCCCAUCAGACCCAGUUAGAGCCCCUGGCGUCCCGCGUCCCCUUCCCGCCGGGCCUAGCACUGGCCCCGCCGCCUCCGCGCUCCCCUCUGCGCCCGCCGCUGGGGGCUCGGCCCCCCACCUGAGGCUCAAGCCUGAUGAGGGUGUAACGGGGGAGGUUCGAGCCACAGCGGUGCGCGGGGCUGAGGCGGAGGUGAGCGCUGAGGGCACGGGGAGGGAGCUGGCCGGGGCAGGAGCCGCCUUCGUUGCGUCUUUGGUGAUGCGGUGUGAAAUUGAGCCGGUACUCCCUCCGGGCUGGCCGUGCUUUGUAGCGUGCUGCUGUCGUUCACCCCCGUCACUCGCCACGAAAACGUGGGAAAUGUCUGUGCUGCAUGCACAAAGUGGAUUACAGCAACCAGCAGUAUGUUUAUUUAAAACUGCUUCUUACGGAAAGUUACUGAGUUUCUUAGUUCUCAUGUGUGAGGGCUGGUUCAUGCCUAUGUAGUAAACUGGUCCCUCUUGGAUCACGAGGAAAUCACAUCUGAACAGAAAGUUUUGGCAGUGGAAAGAUGUUCUCUUGUUACUGGAAACGUCAGCGCCUGCCUUAAGGUCCUUGGAAGCACAUGAGGAGUGUCGGAGCAGUGAUGUCACAGCCAGCUGGAAGGAGCCACAGCUUUCCUGGCCCUUCUGCAGCCAGAGGGGAUGAGAAUGCUGCCUGAUACGUUAUAUUGCCUUGUCAUUAAUGACCAAUAAAGGAAAAUCACUUUUAAUCAA